GACGAACGCUGGCGGCGUGCCUAACACAUGCAAGUCGAACGGAGAGAUACGAGAGCUUGCUCUUGUAAAUCUUAGUGGCAAACGGGUGAGUAACGCGUAAACAACCUGCCCAACGGAUGGGGACAACAGACGGAAACGACUGCUAAUACCCAAUAGACUCCGGUUUCGCAUGAAACCGACAGAAAAGGUGGCCUCUCGAAGAAGCUACCGCCGCAGGCGGGGUUUGCGUUUGAUUCGUUAGUUGGUGGGGUAACGGCCUACCAAGACGAUGAUCAAUAGCCGGACUGAAGGGAGGAACGGCCAAACUGGGACUGAGACACGGGCCAGACUCCUACGGGAGGCAGCAGUGGGGAAUCUUCCGCAAUGGACGAAAGUCUGACGGAGCAACGCCGCGUGAGUGAAGAAGGCCUUCGGGUUGGAAAGCUCUGUUAUUCGGGAAGAACGAUACGUGUGUAAAUAAUGAAAGGAAGUGACGGUACCGAAAGAGAAAGCCACGGCUAACUACGUG
rnacentral:rRNA from 1 species